UCAAGCUACAAAGGGCUCACGGUGGAUACCUUGGCACACAGAGGCGAUGAAGGACGUGGUUACCUGCGAUAAGUCUCGGGGAGCUGGAAACACGCUUUGAUCCGGGAAUUUCCGAAUGGGGCAACCCCUAGAACGGCCGCCUGAAUCCAUAGGGCGGUGCGAGCCAACCCAGCGAACUGAAACAUCUUAGUAGCUGGAGGAAAGGAAAGUAAAAACGACUCCCUCAGUAGCGGCGAGCGAACGGGGAAGAGCCUAAACCGAUGGUUUCGACCAUCGGGGUUGUGGGACAGCAACGUGGACCAACGAACCUAGAAGAAGCGUUUGAAUGGCGCGCCACAGAGGGUGAAAGCCCCGUAUUUGAAAGGAGAGUUGGCCUAGCUGUAUCCCGAGUAGCACGGAGCACGUGAAAUUCCGUGUGAAUCCGCGAGGACCACCUCGUAAGGCUAAGUACUCCUGUGUGACCGAUAGCGCAACAGUACCGCGAGGGAAAGGUGAAAAGAACCCCGGGAGGGGAGUGAAAUAGAACAUGAAACCGUGAGCUUACAAGCAGUGGGAGCCCGACUGAUCGGGUGACCGCGUGCCUGUUGAAGAAUGAGCCGGCGACUUAUAGGCACUGGCAGGUUAAACCGGGAAUGGUGGAGCCAUAGCGAAAGCGAGUCUGAAUAGGGCGAUCGUCAGUGUUUAUAGACCCGAACCCGGGUGAUCUAACCAUGGCCAGGAUGAAGCUUGGGUGAUACCAAGUGGAGGUCCGAACCGACUGAUGUUGAAAAAUCAGCGGAUGAGCUGUGGUUAGGGGUGAAAUGCCAAUCGAACCCGGAGCUAGCUGGUUCUCCCCGAAAUACGUUGAGGCGUAGCGUCUAGUGCUCCAGCAGGGGGGUAAAGCCACUGUUUCGGUGCGGGCUGCGAGAGCGGUACCAAAUCGAGACAAACUCUGAAUACCCUGUGUGUAACUAGGCAGUCAGACUGUGGGGGAUAAGCUCCAUGGUCGAAAGGGAAACAGCCCAGACCGCCAGCUAAGGUCCCCAAAUCGAUGCUAAGUGAUAAAGGAGGUGGGAUUGCCCAGACAACCAGGAGGUUUGCCUAGAAGCAGCCAUCCUCAAAGGAGUGCGUAAUAGCUCACUGGUCGAGCGAUCCUGCGCCGAAAAUGAACGGGGCUAAGCAUCGUACCGAAGCUGCGGAUUUAACUUGUUAAAUGGUAGGGGAGCGUUCCAUGUGGGGUGAAGCGUUAGCGUAAGCGGGCGUGGACUGCAUGGAAGUGAGAAUGUCGGCUUGAGUAGCGAAAACAUGGGUGAGAAUCCCAUGCCCCGAAACCCUAAGGGUUCCUCCGGCAGGCUCGUCCGCGGAGGGUUAGUCAGGACCUAAGGCGAGGCCGAAAGGCGUAGUCGAUGGACAACAGGUCAACAUUCCUGUACCUGUGAUGUUUUGGGAAGGGGGACGGAGAAGGCUAGCCAAGCCAGAUGUUGGUUACUGGUCCAAGCGUUCGAGGCGUUGAGAGCUGGCGAAAACAGCUUGAGCUGAGGCGUGAGUGCGAGCUGCUACGGCAGCGAAGUUGGUGACGUCAAGCUUCCAAGAAAAGCCCUAUACCCGUUAAGGCAUCAUGGCCUGUACCCGAAACCGACACAGGUGGGGUGGUAGAGAAUACCGAGGGGCGCGAGGUAACUCUCUCUAAGGAACUCGGCAAAAUGGCCCCGUAACUUCGGGAGAAGGGGUGCCACCGAGAGGUGGUCGCAGUGAAGAGUCCCAGGCGACUGUUUACCAAAAACACAGGUCUCUGCAAACUCGUAAGAGGACGUAUAGGGGCUGACGCCUGCCCAGUGCCGGAAGGUUAAGGAAGUUGGUUAGUUUUCGGAUGAAGCUAGCGACCGAAGCCCCGGUGAACGGCGGCCGUAACUAUAACGGUCCUAAGGUAGCGAAAUUCCUUGUCGGGUAAGUUCCG
rnacentral:rRNA from 1 species